ACUCAAAUGAAUAGACGGGGGCUCACACAAGCGGUGGAUGAUGUGGCUUAAUUCGAGGCUACGCGAAGAACCUUAUCCUAGUCUUGACAUGCUUGGAUUAACCCUAGGAAACUAGGGCCACGCCUUCGGGUGGAACAAGCACAGGUGCUGCAUGGCUGUCGUCAGCUCGUGUCGUGAGAUGUCGGGUUAAGUCCCUUAACGAGCGAAACCCUUGUCUCUAGUUGCCAGCGGGUCAUGCCGGGAACUCUAGAGAGACUGCCGGUGUUAAACCGGAGGAAGGUGGGGAUGACGUCAAGUCCUCAUGGCCUUUAUGAUUAGGGCUGCACACGUCAUACAAUGGCGCGAACAAAGGGAAGCAAACUCGCGAGAGCAAGCAAAUCCCAAAAAACGCGCCCCAGUUCGGAUUGCAGGCUGCAACUCGCCUGCAUGAAGCCGGAAUCGCUAGUAAUCGCGGGUCAGCAUACCGCGGUGAAUGUGUUCCUGAGCCUUGCACACACCGCCCGU
rnacentral:rRNA from 1 species